CUUGAGGGCCCCCUCCAAGGGGCCAAAAACCACUCUACUUAUGUGGCUGCCAUCACAUCCACCCACAGGCUCUCACCAAUAAUCACCUUUGAAUGAGCAGACACAAACAGGAAACAAAUUGAGAGUCACCAUAGUCUCCAUGAAAGAGUUUUUUCAUGAACACUGGUGAUGCCAAGGCAAGAUCAGAGAAGCCAGUCACUGCCCUGGAAACUGUGUUGCUUCGUAUUAAUGCAGAAUGAUCCCACCGAUCAGAAGCACAGUCAUCUGGAACCUGCAGAACUCAGCCUCAAAUAUAUGAAGAAUAUGACAAGCUUUCAUGGAAUAAAGGACCACCUUAGAAACCUAG
ensembl:lncRNA